rnacentral:rRNA from 1 species
UACAGGGGGGGGCAAGCGUUGUUCGGAAUUACUGGGCGUAAAGGGCUCGUAGGCGGCCAACUAAGUCAGACGUGAAAUCCCUCAGCUUAACUGGGAACUGCGUCUGAUACUGGAUGGCUUGGAUCCGGGAGAGGGAUGCGGAAUUCCAGGUGUAGCGGUGAAAUGCGCAGAUAUCAGGAGGAACACCGGUGGCGAAGGCGGGUCUCUGGGCCGAUACUGACGCUGGAGGAGCGAAAGCGUGGGGAGCGAACAGG